UACGUAGGGUGCGAGCGUUGUCCGGAAUUACUGGGCGUAAAGAGCUCGUAGGUGGCUUGUCGCGUCGUCCGUGAAAACUUGGGGCUCAACCCCAAGCUUGCGGUCGAUACGGGCAGGCUAGAGUUCGGUAGGGGAGACUGGAAUUCCUGGUGUAGCGGUGAAAUGCGCAGAUAUCAGGAGGAACACCGGUGGCGAAGGCGGGUCUCUGGGCCGAUACUGACGCUGAGGAGCAAAAGCGUGGGGAGCGAACAGG
rnacentral:rRNA from 1 species